AUUAAAAAUAACAGCUAAGCAGCCAUAUUUCUCAGGGCCUGAGCGCGAUCGAAUGAUUAGCAACAUCCUUUGGGUGUCAGUCAGUCGUAUGCAAUUCACUGCAGCUAUUUACCCUCCAAAAAAUCCCAAAAUUCCAAAUCACCAGCGCCUUUUUUUUAUGAAUCCCUUUCUGGGUUUUGCUUUACAGUCCUCGAAUCGAAUUGGGUUAAUUUCAAUUUCAAAAUUUUGAUUUGAUCCAAUCUCAAUUCUUCAUAAACUCUGUCUCUUUCUGUUUACGACUUUUCAUACUUCUGUUUCUGUAGAGUCCACUACUAGGUCAGUAAGUAGGGGUAGGGUUUCUGAAAGCAAAAGGUAGAGAGCAGAAGAUCAUGGAGCUCAGCGCCUUCUGGGUCCACGUGUCUGUCACGUGACUCUGAAGAUUUUCCGUUUGUUUCAGUCGUCGUCUUCCCUGAUCCUCUCUCUCUCUCUCUCUCUCUCUCUCUCUCUCUCCCCCCUUCUCUAUGUUUGUGUAUAUAUGGCUUACCAGCAACAGCAAGGAGGUGGGCAGCUGUUCAAUUCCCCGUUCGGGGACACGACGUUGACGAAGGUGUUCGUGGGGGGGCUGGCCUGGGAGACCCAGAGCGACACUCUACGACGUCACUUCGAGCAGUUCGGCGACAUCCUCGAGGCCGUCGUCAUCACCGAUAAGAACACCGCCCGAUCCAAAGGCUAUGGCUUUGUCACAUUUCGUGAUCCCGAAUCUGCAAGAAGGGCUUGUUUGGAUCCCAAUCCUGUGAUCGAUGGCCGCAGAGCCAACUGCAAUCUUGCUUCUCUGGGUCGUCCCCGCCAACCUUUCCCUUUUCAUGGGCAAGUGAGAUCACCAGCUCCAAUCCUCGGUCGUGUGCAACCGCCUCGAGCUGCUUACAUGGGAAGCCCCAACCCUGCUUACCACCACCCUAUUCCUCAUGGUUACCAGCCCGGGUUCGUGUACCCAUCUUAUGGGUACACAGGAUAUGGACCUGAAUUUGUCUAUCCACAGGGUGCCUACAGUCCUUACAUGACUCAGCAGCAGUACCUUCAGAUAUAUGGGGUACCAGGCACCGUUAACCCUGGCAUAUAUUCAUAUGGACAAUUGGGUCAUUCACUCCCCGGGAGUCAUGGGUAUGCAACGGUUCAAAACUAUGGAGUUCCAGGUCAUCAUGUAAUGCAAUUUGGCGGCUCCAAUGUUGGUGCUGCAUCCCCAGCUGCCAUUCCGACGAUUCAAACACCAUAUCCUGCAGGUAUAAUUGCACCAGCUCCAGGACACACGCAGAUUAUGCUUCCUACUAAUUCUCCUCAAUUCACCAGUGGUUCCGAUCAAACUGCAGGUUGAGUGGUAAAUCAGAAAGGUCACAUCUUGAGGUAAUCCUUAGAUUGCAGCAGGACUAAGAGAAGCUACUGCUACCUAAGUGGCAGGCUCUAAAUCUAGCCUUGCAAGUUAUUAUCUUUGCUUUCUAGAGGUCAUUCAUGGUGGUCAUCAGAGAUACUGCAAAGUCAGCUGUUAGAUGUUAAGGAGGGUGGAAGAGCAUCAUGGGUUGUUGUUUUUUCACCUGGUGGUGUCUGUAAAAUAUGCCGUUGCUGUGCCAUGUGGCUGAAAGUCGCUUGGCGCGAUAUUAUGGGUCAUUGCUGUUUGCCGGAAAUAUGGUUUUCCGACUGCCACAGCGUAAUAAGAAUGUAAAUGUGUAAAUAACGCUAAACCAUCCCCUGCAUCAAAGAAUCAAAUACGAUUCAUUUCACGGACUGGGGACCCAACAUAUGGGUCAAUUGUCUAGUCUCUCACACAUUGAAUUCGGCAGAAAAAGUCAUUGUUCAAUUUGAAUUUGUCUAUUCAAUCCGCGUUUCGUCAUUU